UACGAAGGGGGCUAGCGUUGCUCGGAAUCACUGGGCGUAAAGGGUGCGUAGGCGGGUCUUUUAAGUCAGGGGUGAAAUCCUGGAGCUCAACUCCAGAACUGCCUUUGAUACUGAGGAUCUUGAGUUCGGGAGAGGUGAGUGGAACUGCGAGUGUAGAGGUGAAAUUCGUAGAUAUUCGCAAGAACACCAGUGGCGAAGGCGGCUCACUGGCCCGAUACUGACGCUGAGCAC
rnacentral:rRNA from 1 species